GAUUCCCCUAGUAACGGCGAGUGAACCGGGAAGAGCUCAAAUUUGAAAUCUGGCGUCCUCAGGGCGUCCGAGUUGUAAUCUAUAGAGGCGUUUUCCGUGCCGGACCGUGUCCAAGUUCCUUGGAACAGGAUAUCAAAGAGGGUGACAAUCCCGUACUUGACACGACGACCGGUGCUCUGUGAUACGUCUUCUACGAGUCGAGUUGUUUGGGAAUGCAGCUCAAAAUGGGUGGUGAGUUCCAUCUAAAGCUAAAUAUUGGCGAGAGACCGAUAGCGAACAAGUACCGUGAGGGAAAGAUGAAAAGCACUUUGGAAAGAGAGUUAAACAGUACGUGAAAUUGUUGAAAGGGAAACGAUUUAAGUCAGUCGUGACCGAGAGGCUCAGCCGGUUCUGCCGGUGUAUUCCCCUCGGUCGG
rnacentral:rRNA from 1 species